rnacentral:rRNA from 1 species
AUGAGCUUAUACAUGCAGUAGACGCUGAAGAGAGGAGCUUGCUCUUCUUGGAUGAGUUGCGAACGGGUGAGUAACGCGUAGGUAACCUGCCUUGUAGCGGGGGAUAACUAUUGGAAACGAUAGCUAAUACCGCAUAACAAUGGAUGACACAUGUCAUUUAUUUGAAAGGGGCAAUUGCUCCACUACAAGAUGGACCUGCGUUGUAUUAGCUAGUAGGUGAGGUAAUGGCUCACCUAGGCGACGAUACAUAGCCGACCUGAGAGGGUGAUCGGCCACACUGGGACUGAGACACGGCCCAGACUCCUACGGGAGGCAGCAGUAGGGAAUCUUCGGCAAUGGGGGCAACCCUGACCGAGCAACGCCGCGUGAGUGAAGAAGGUUUUCGGAUCGUAAAGCUCUGUUGUAAGUCAAGAACGGGUGUGAGAGUGGAAAGUUCACACUGUGACGGUAGCUUACCAGAAAGGGACGGCUAACUACGUGCCAGCAGCCGCGGUAAUACGUAGGUCCCGAGCGUUGUCCGGAUUUAUUGGGCGUAAAGCGAGCGCAGGCGGUUUGAUAAGUCUGAAGUUAAAGGCUGUGGCUCAACCAUAGUUCGCUUUGGAAACUGUCAAACUUGAGUGCAGAAGGGGAGAGUGGAAUUCCAUGUGUAGCGGUGAAAUGCGUAGAUAUAUGGAGGAACACCGGUGGCGAAAGCGGCUCUCUGGUCUGUAACUGACGCUGAGGCUCGAAAGCGUGGGGAGCGAACAGGAUUAGAUACCCUGGUAGUCCACGCCGUAACGAUGAGUGCUAGGUGUUGGAUCCUUUCCGGGAUUCAGUGCCGCAGCUAACGCAUUAAGCACUCCGCCUGGGGAGUACGACCGCAAGGUUGAAACUCAAAGGAAUUGACGGGGGCCCGCACAAGCGGUGGAGCAUGUGGUUUAAUUCGAAGCAACGCGAAGAACCUUACCAGGUCUUGACAUCCCGAUGCUAUUUCUAGAGAUAGAAAGUUACUUCGGUACAUCGGUGACAGGUGGUGCAUGGUUGUCGUCAGCUCGUGUCGUGAGAUGUUGGGUUAAGUCCCGCAACGAGCGCAACCCCUAUUGUUAGUUGCCAUCAUUCAGUUGGGCACUCUAGCGAGACUGCCGGUAAUAAACCGGAGGAAGGUGGGGAUGACGUCAAAUCAUCAUGCCCCUUAUGACCUGGGCUACACACGUGCUACAAUGGUUGGUACAACGAGUUGCGAGUCGGUGACGGCGAGCUAAUCUCUUAAAGCCAAUCUCAGUUCGGAUUGUAGGCUGCAACUCGCCUACAUGAAGUCGGAAUCGCUAGUAAUCGCGGAUCAGCACGCCGCGGUGAAUACGUUCCCGGGCCUUGUACACACCGCCCGUCACACCACGAGAGUUUGUAACACCCGAAGUCGGUGAGGUAACCUUUGGAGCCAGCCGCUAAGGGACCAAG